rnacentral:rRNA from 1 species
CGCCUAACACAUGCAAGUCGAACGAAGUAAGGAGCUUGCUCUUGCUUAGUGGCGGACGGGUGAGUAACACGUGAGCAACCUGCCUUAAAGAGGGGGACAACAGUUGGAAACGACUGCUAAUACCGCAUAAUGUGCGCUGGAAGCAUUUCCUAUGCACCAAAGGAGCAAUCCGCUUUAAGAUGGGCUCGCGCCUGAUUAGAUAGUUGGUGAGGUAACGGCCCACCAAGUCUGCGAUCAGUAGCCGGACUGAGAGGUUGAACGGCCACAUUGGGACUGAGACACGGCCCAGACUCCUACGGGAGGCAGCAGUGGGGGAUAUUGGUCAAUGGGGGGAAACCCUGAACCAGCGAUGCCGCGUGAGGGAAGAAGGUUUUCGGAUUGUAAACCUCUGUCAUCGGGGAAGAUAAUGACGGUACCCGAGAAGGAAGCCACGGCUAACUACGUGCCAGCCGCUGC